GUGCUCGUGUUGGCAGCACAUAUACUAAAGUUGGAACAACACAGAGAAGAUUAGCGUGGUCCUUGUGCAAGGAUGACAUGAAAAUUCGUGAAGCAUUUCAUAUUUUU